UGCGCAUAUUCUUUGAGGAGAAAAGGAAAAAAAAUAAGAAUAAGAGAAAGAGAUAAAUGCAAGAGUUCUAUCGGAAGAAGCAAUUGAAACCAGAGACAUGCAAGAGUAGGCCACCUCUCUCUCCUUAUCCCUUGGGGACAGGAGUCCGCCACACUUGCAGCUGGCUUGUUGAUGACGGGUCAUGGAGCUGUCAACCUCAUCCCACUAAUUCUGCAUGACAUCUUUAGUAGGUUGAUUUGAGCUGAUAUCAAGUUAUAUUUCAGUGAUCAUUCAGCUGAAACAUUAAGCUUAAACAGCAUAUUCAGAUACAGAAGACCAUUGAGAUGUUUGAGGUGUGUGUUGAGAGAAACAACAAUAUAUGAGAAUGAAGAACACAACUGGCUGGUUUGCCAGUGGAUAAAGUUUGGAGUCGACAUCGAGGAUGCAGGUCUGCUACGACACCACAAAAGACUAUUGACUUAUUUUGAGGUCAGUAUCGACUGCUUGAUCUAUCCACACCCGACAUUGGUCAUCCUGCAACAGCUUUUUCUACCUCAAAAGACUCGAAUUCUUUCCUGGAUAACGGCAUACAAAGAAAUCUUUCUCAAAAUCUACAAGAUUUUGACCAGAUUGCUUGACAUGAAGUAAACAGGAGUAAUUUGGGUUAAGAAAUGCAGGUACUCAAUUAUUUGUCAAUCUCAA
rnacentral:lncRNA from 1 species